rnacentral:rRNA from 1 species
CCUACGGGUGGCUGCAGUGGGGAAUAUUGGACAAUGGGCGAAAGCCUGAUCCAGCAAUGCCGCGUGAGUGAUGAAGGCCCUAGGGUUGUAAAGCUCUUUUACCAGGGAUGAUAAUGACAGUACCUGGAGAAUAAGCUCCGGCUAACUCCGUGCCAGCAGCCGCGGUAAUACGGAGGGAGCUAGCGUUGUUCGGAUAUACUGGGCGUAAAGCGCACGUAGGCGGCGCCGUAAGUCAGGGGUGAAAUCCCGGAGCUCAACUCCGGAACUGCCCUUGA